AAGCACAGAUGACCUGCUACACUUCCUGACUUGCUUGCUAUUGGUUGGCACUGUUCAUAAAUAUAAUUUGCUCUUUCACUUUUCUUUGAAAUGAGCAACCUGAAUUACUCGGAGGAGAAAGGCAGGAGAGAUAGAGGCAGCAGAAGCCAGGGCAGCUGAAAGACAGAGACCUUCAGUCUGAACCAACAACAAGCAAAGUUAAAUUAUGGAUAUCCAAGGGAGUCUAUAGAAGGUCCAUGCAAGGUAUGGAGAGUUCCUCAACAGAGACAUUUUGACUACUUGUCUGAACUAGAUAUCCCUUGAAUGUGCACACAAAAAGUGAACGGGUCAUUUGAUAAGGGAAAACUAGGUUCCAAGAUGGCUGAAUAGGAAGAGCUCCAGUCUGCAGAUCCCAGUGUGAGCAACACGGAAGAUGGGUGAUUUCUGCAUUUCCAACUGAGAUGAAAAGCUCAGGCAUAAACAAUUUAAGGCAUCUUGGAUUCCAAACCAACCCCUACCCAGUACUGCUGCAGACAAGACUACCCCUCUUAGAAGUCAGAGGGAAUCCCCUCUCCAAUUUGAUGGUGAGGUAGGCCAAGGCCCGGCUUGCUAGAGGCUCAAGGGUGCAAUAAGAAAUGGACCUCAGAAGGGACUCACUGGAGCAUAUGUCACUCUCAUCAGAGAGUCAAGGCUCCUCUGCUUCCCCUUUCUCAGCCCCAUAGCUCCGAGGAACACAGUAAUGACUGCCGGGGCACGCACACAGCAAGCAGCUUUGCCGUGCUGCCCUGCUGUUCUGAAGGCCUUUUGCUGCAAGAGAGAUGCACCUGUCAUUUCCUGCAGACGCUUCCAAGGCUCUUCAUGGAGAAGCUGCCUUAAAUGAAAAGGCCAUUGUUUGUGUUAAGAAACAACUUUGCUAAUCACAAAAACAGCUCCUGCUCUACAGGCCCCGAUGGCACCAGUGGAAGGAAGCCAGCAUGUCACUGCAGAUUCUGGGGCUCCUUGUGUAGGAUUUACAGGGGGCUACCUGAUGUGGAUGGAGUCCAGCUUCAUACUUUCCUGGCUGUGAUAUUGGCAAGGUUGGCCUCACCUCUCUAAGCCUCCAUGUCCUUAUUUGUAUAAUGCAGUUACCAAUGUCCAUAUUUCAGGGCUCCUGUAAAGAUUGCAGAUAAUGUUAAUGAAAUGCCUAACGAAGGACCUGGUCUAAAGUGGAGAUUCAGUGAGUGGUAGUUCUCCUGUUUCUCUUCUGCCCUCUCUCCCUCAGGCCCACAUUUAGAGGUGUUCAUUUGUAACAGACACUCAGGCAGAGGUGCAUUCUGUCAAAAAGGCUCUGUUAAGAACAAGCGGCUCUGCCUGCUCUGGAAGAGUCCCCUGGGUCCGCCCAGUUCCGAAAUCUCACCCGCACAUGUUCUUCAGCUCAGGAACUGAUGAAGACGACAAAGCGACUUGAUAAAAAUGGCUGAACCUGCAUGCAUAAAAGAGAACAACGUUCAGACACUUCUGUCUGGUGACCCCUGCAAGAUUCUGGUAUCAAACUCCUGUCUCUCCUCACUAAGGACCACGGGUUGCCCUGGUGUGGCGGAAGCUAUAUAGAGGCCCACACCAUAAUGUCUGCCAAGUCCUCCAGGCCCUCUUACAUCUUAUGUUCAAUUUUCCCUCAUUGCUUAUUCUGGAAUGUCCACUCCCUCUUUCAGAGCUGAGAAUGCUGACUUCUUAGUCUUUUCUUAUGCAAUUGCUGAAAGUGCAGCUUUUAAGUCCUGCAUCAUUAUCAAAUUGAUUUCUGCCAAAAGCUUUUCUUCUCUUGCCAAUGCUCUGGGAACACGGGUUGCUGCCUUCUCAGUCUGGAUAGAUACAGGCCCUAUUUGGCCAAACCACAGCACUUCCUGUUUAAAUAAUUCCCUGAAAGCACCAGCUCAUCAGCGUGAGUGUUCAUCACUUUAUCUCCAACUUUCUGUGGUGUUGUUACAGUCUCUAUGGACCCAAAGUUAGAGAAAGAAGGAAACAUGAUAAAGCAAUUGGCCCCUAGAUAAUGUCUACCAUUCAAGCACAUAAGUGAGCCCGAGCCAAAUCCUGAGUUCUGGCUACAUGCAGAAGCCCAGGCUAAGUAAGGUAGCAAAUACAUGCAGUGUAUAUAUGGCAUGCACCCUGCCUGCAGGAGUGCCACACACAAUGACGUAAUGCCCUGAAAUGGAGACAGUAAACCUGGUCAGUGUUUGCAACGUGGCAAAUGAGAGGUCAGUCAGCAUGUGUGCAGUCUGUGGAAGGUUUCUCAGAGCUGAGAAUGAAGUGAGGGGUGUUCAAGAAUCUAUAGGGAUUAAGAAAUCAGGGUAACACGGGGAAGCAUUCUUGGCGAAAGAAACAGCUCGAGCAAAGACAGAGGUGGAAAUUGGCCUGGCGUCUUUAAGGCACUGAAAGGCUACCAGCCUACUUGGUCUGUUUAUUUUAGGAGAAUAGUAGGAGUCAAGUUUGUAAAGACAACUGGAGAGGUCGACUUCUAAGCUAAAGGGCUUGAUCUUACUCCUUUAGGUAGUGAAGUCACUGAAAGUUUUUGAGAAGACAAAUGGCACACUGAAAGUGGUGUUUCAGAAAAAUUUUAUCAGCAGUGGUGUUUGGAGGGGGUGACAUUAAGGAGUAAAAGAAGAGACUUCAGGUAGUGAGAAUCAUUAGAGGGCUUGCAAAGAACUGAUAUGAAAUCAUUAGGACUCUAACUAGGAUGACAAUAGAGGAGAAGGGAAAUAAAGGAUGGGUUCAACACAAAUUGGAGAACAAGCAGAUAUGAACUUGAAGGAAUGACAGGAGAAGCAACGACAUCAUAGGUCAAAGGCAGAAAAUCUGGAGCUUGUUGGCAAGACAAUGUAUUGUCUGCUUCAACAAGUCAAAGCUGAGGUCUGUGGAGACAGUCAGCAAGUGAAAGGUCAAAAUGGCUGGUAAAUUGCUUGAGAUUUGAGGCAGAGCACUGGACUGAAUUCCAGGCUGCAAACGUGAUCUGGGCGUGAUUUGAUUGGAAAGGAUAGCUGCAGGUGUGAUGGGUUUUCUCCAGUUGUGUGUGCCUGUGUGAGAUUUAAAACAAAGGGGAAGACUGAAGGAGAUACUGCACUCCUAAGAGAGAUUAAGGAGAAUGGAAAGAGCAAGGAUGAAAAGCCAGGAGCAAUGGGAUGAAGAGAAUAGGCUGGGGUUUUAAUCUUGGAAAGGAGGGCUCUAUAACAAGGUACACUGGGCUCUUGGUAGCAGGAUGAGGUGGGGGUGAGGGAGAAAGGGCAGUAAGCCAGGAAAGGACGGGCUAGGUACCUAUUUUGGCUUAAGGCUGGCCUCCUAGAGUUGUAGCAAAUGUAAGACUGGUUCAGAUUGAUACUGACAUGGAGGUGUCUAAGCAGGUGGGCUGGGGCAGAACUCAUGUAGUCAGAAGGCUGGACUUCAAGGAUCUUGGCUUCUGAGGGUCUGUCCAUCUAAAACAGGAUCCCAGAAAGAAUUAGAGGGAGCAGACAGGAUCAGAGUUCAGGCCAGGAGAAGAGCAGGCAUCAGAAGGUGGAGGUCAGUGGUUUUGUUGUCGUUCUCUAAACCCUAAUGGUUCGCCAAGAUGCAUCUGGGGCUGCUGAAGGGGCAGAGGAGCUCCAAGCUCCUUCAUUCCCAUUCAACCUAACAGGUUUUUUACUUAUUGAACUUUGUGAUGUGAUAGGAUUGAGUUUGAAGAAAGUGUUCCACUACUAAAGUAAAGUUUGAAAAUGAAUGGCAGAUUUGGCCUACCGGAAAUAAAAGCAGAGGCAUUAUUACUGGCAACAGUCCAUCUAUAAAGGAACAUGUGAGUAAACCACAGCAUGGCUGCUGUGAACAGUGCAGCUGGUAAACAUAAUCAGCAAGAUCUAUGCAUGUAAGCUGAGUUAACAUCAGAGGAUGUCUGUGUCAUACUGGGAAAGGGCAGAAGCAAGUUUCAGGAUAAUGUAGAUGAUACAUGUGAAACAAAAAAAAGGAAAAAGAAUCCUAUGAAUUUUCUUAUGUGUUGAUAUGAAAGAUAAGACAAGAAGGGCUCCACACCAGACUUUGGCUUCUUCAGGCACAGGAAUUAAAAGAGGGUAGAUAAUUACCAGAUUUUUAAAGAGAGACUUUUGUAUUGUAUAAGUAGCUACUAUGAGCCUGUAUUUUUCUUUUAUACUUUUUAGUUAGGAGUAAGUAUAGAUUCAUCAGAAGUUGCAAAAAUAGUACAGAGAAUCCUGUGUUCCAUUCAUCCACUUUCCCCAGUGGUAACAUCUUACAUGAUGAUAAAAGCUAGGAAAUUAACAUUGUUAUAAUUCAUAUACAUUGUUCAGAUCUCACUUGUUUUAUAUCCACUCGUGUGUGUGCCUGAGUGCGUAUAUAGUUCAAUGCAAAACUAUCACAGGUGUAGAUUUAUGUAACUGCCACCACUAUCAAGAUACACAAUGGUUCUAUCACCACAAAGAUCCCUCAUGCUACCCCUUUAUAUUCACACCCCUCCCCACUCCUACUUCCUGUUCCCUGGCAACCAGUAAUCUGUUCUUCAUUUCUAGAAUUUUGUAUUUCAAGAAUGUUACAUAAAUGAAAGUAUAUAGUAUGUAAGCUCUUGGAAUUGGCUUUCUUUUCAUUUAGCAUAACUUCCUUGAGAUCCAUUCAAGUUCUUGCAUGUAUCAAUAGUUCAUUUCUUUUUAUUGCUGAGUAGUAUUUCGUGGCACAGAGGUAGCACUGUUUGUUUAACCAUUUACCCAUUGAAGGACAUGUGGGUUGUUUCCAGUUCUGGGCCAUUAAAAGUAAAGCUGCUGUGAACAUUUGUGUACACAUUUUUGUGUAGCCAUAGCCUUUCAUUUCUCUGGUACAAAUGUCCAGGAGUUCAACUGCUGGCUUAUAAGGUAAGUGUAAGUAUGUUUAAUUUUUUUAAGAAACUGCCGGACUAUUUUCCAGGAAGACAGUACCAUUUUACAUUCCUAUCAGCAAUGUAUGGAUGUGCCAGUUCUUCAGUUCUUGUCAACAUUUGAUAUUAUUCCUAUUUUUUAAAUGGUAGCUAUUUUAAUAGGUGUAUAGUGAUAUUUAAUUUGCAUUUCCCUGAUGGCUAAUGAUGUUGAACAAAUUUUCAUGUUCCUUUUUUGCCAUCUGUAUACCCUUUGGUGACAUGUCUAUUUAUAUCUUUUGCCCAUUUUCUAAUUUGAUCUUUGAUAUUUUUUAUUGUUGAGCUUUGUGAGUCCUUUAUAUAGUUUAGAUAUAACUCUUUUGUCAGAUAUUUGGUUUGAAAAUACUUUCUUCCAGUCCAGAUAUUGUCUUUUCAUCUUUUUAAUAAAGUUCAUUGUAGAGCAAAAGUUUUUCAUUUUGAUGAUGUCCAACUUGUUGAUUUUCUUCCAUAAAUCAUGGUUUUUCAUAUCACAUUUAAGAACUUUUCACUAACCCUAGAUCCUGAAGAUUUUCUCCUAUGUUUUCUUUUGAAUUUUUUAUAACUUUGUGUUUUAUAUUUAAGUAUAUAAAUUCAUUCUGAGUUAUUUUUCAUUUAAAAACGUGAGGUUUAUUUUAAAGUUCUUUUUAUUGGCCUAUGAGUGUAACUACUUCAGUACCAUUUGCUGAAAAGAUUAUUCUUCCUCCAUUGAAUUGCUUUUGGAUCUGUCAAAAAUCAGUUAAUUUGUGCAUCAAAAGACACUACUAACAGAAUAAAUAGGCAGCCUACAUGAUACGGUUUUGAUGUUGUCCCCUCUAAAUCUCAUGUCUAAUUAUAAUCCCCUGUUGGAAAUGGGGAUGGGUGUUUGGGUCAUGGGGACAGAUCCUUUAUGGUUUGGAGGUGUCAUCAAGAUAGCAAGCAAUUAUGAGAUCUGGUUGUUUAAGUGUGCGGCACCUCCCCCCUCCCCACCUCUUGCUUCCACUCUCACCAUGUGACUGUCUGCUCCCCCGUCAUCUUCUGCCAUGACUGUAAGCUUCCUGAAACCUCCCCAGAAGCUGACCGGUUGCCAAUGUCAUGCUUCCUGUACAGCCUGCAGAACCAUGAGCCAAUUAAACCUCUUUACCUUAUAAAUUACACAGCCUCAGGUAUUUCUUUAUAGCAAUACAAGAACAGCUUAAUACACCACAGAAUGGGAGAAAGCAUUUGGAAAUCACAUAGCUUACAAGAGAUAAAAAUCCAGAAUAUAUAGAGAACUCCUAAAACUCAGCAACAAUAACACAGACUGAUUCAAAACUGGGCAAAGGACUUGAAUAGACAUUUCACCAAAGUACAUGUACAAAUGGUCAAUAUGAGAUGCAAAUCAAACUACAAUAAGAUACCACCUCACACAAAUUAGGAUGACUCCUAUCAAAAAUAUCAAAAAUAGCAAGGAUUGGUGAAGAUGUGGAAAAAUACGAACACUUGUGCACUGUUUGUGGGAAUAUAAAAUGGCACAGCCUAUGUGAAAAACAGUAUAGUAUUUCCUCAAAAAGUGAAAAAUAGGAUUGCCGUAUGAUCUAGCAAUUCCACUUCCUGGUAUAUAACAAAAAGAACUGAAAGCACGGUCUCAAAGAGGUAUUUGUACACCCAUGCUCAUAGCAGCAUUAUUUACAAUAGCUAAAAUGUUGAAGUAACCCAAAUGUACAUCAAUGAAUGAAUGGAAAAGCAAAAUGUGGUAUACCCAUAUGCUAUGGUUUGACUGUGUCCCCCAAAGUUCAUGUGUUGGGAAUUUAAUCCCCAAUGCAACAGUGUUGAAAGGUGGGACUUUUAAAGAGAUGAUUAGGCCAUGAAGACUCUGCCAGCCAUCAUAAAUAGAUUUAUGCUGUUAUAAUAAGGAUUGGCGUAUUGCAGGAUUAUCCAAUAACCAAUUGAGUAAUCGCAUGAUCAUCCAAUUAGGGUUCCCAGGUAAAGUAUGAGCCCUCUUUCCCUCACUCUCACUCUCUCUUGUUCUUCUGCCUUCUGUGAUGGAAUGACACAACACAAAGGCCUUCACCAAAUGCCAGUACCAUGUUCUGGGACUUCCCAGCCUCCAUAACUGUAAGUCAAAUAAAUUUCAGUUCAUUAUAAUUUACCUAGUCUGUGAUAUUUUGUGAUAGUAGCAUAAAUUUGACUAAAACACUAUCCAAUGGAAUAUUGCCCUUUAAAAGGAAAGAAAUUCUUCAAUAUGCUAUAACAUGGAUGAACCUUAUGUUCAGUGAAAUAAGUCAGUCACAAAAAUACAAGUACUAUAUGAUUCAACUUAUAUGAAGGAAUAUGAGUAGUCAAAAUCAUAGAGACAGAAAGUAAAAGGGUGGAAGCUACAGACUGAGGGGAGGGAGUUAUUAUUUAAUAACUAAUUAUUAUUAAAUAAUUAUUAAUUAUUUAAUGGGUA